ensembl:snoRNA Gm23011 predicted gene, 23011
UCUGCCCCUAGAGGCCUUGCAGGUGUGACUGCUGUGUCACAUGCGCAGCAGUAGGUGGCAGAGAGGAGAGAUGCUAUGUCUACGCACAGUGUUCUGAUCUACGAUCUUCUGAAUUAUCAAUAGCCUAACAUU